GUAAGCGGAUCAGAGGAAGAGCGGGCGGCUCAUAACUGCCGGGUCGGGAUUUCGAAAUUCCCCGGGUCCACCA
rnacentral:tRNA from 1 species